UUAGUUUUCCCACCUUUAACUCCUUUAUUCCAUUAGAAAAUUAGGGUUCAAGAGAGAAGUGAGAGAACUACAAUGGGUGUUCUUCCUUUCUUCUACCUCUCACUCUUUCAACACUAUAGUUGUGAUUUUGAACUCAUCUAAACUUUGAUUCCGUUGCUAUAUUGCUCGUAGGUAGUUCGUUUAUGUCCAUUAGUUUCUGGAAGAUUUCUACAUUGGUGUUUCUAUCAUUGCUUAAGUUAGGUCUAGGUAAUUAAAAUUUAAGAAUAUGAGUGAUAUGCCAUCAUCAAAUGCUGGUUCUCCUACUGGUCCUUGUACUCCAACCACUCCUAGUACUCCAGAUGUCUCUAAUGGGUCUCCUAGUUGCUCAUCAACAUCUGUUCGGUUGGUCAUCUCAGUUGU